CAGAUACUUCCUCCGUCCUAAAAUUCUUGUCUUAGAUUUAUCUAGAUACGGAUGUAUCUGACAAGUGUCAGAUACAUCCGUAUCUAGAUAAAUCUAAGACAAGAAUUUUGGGACGGAUGGAGUAUAUU
rfam:Triticum aestivum genome assembly, contig: Triticum_aestivum_CS42_TGACv1_scaffold_515130_6BS